AGGAGAUUGGCUGUUAUAUACUAGGAGUCGGAGAUUGGAUGUUAUAUACUAGGAGAUUGGAUGUUAUAUACUGGGAGAUUGGCUGUUAUAUACUGGGAGAUUGGAUGUUAUAUACUAGGAGAUUGGCUGUUAUACACUAGGAGAUUGGUUGUUAUAUACUUGGAGACUGGCUGUUAUAUACUAGGAGAUUGGCUGUUAUAUACUUGGAGACUGGCUGUUAUAUACUAGGAGAUUGGAUGUUAUAUACUAGGAGAUUGGUUGUUAUAUACUAGGAGAUUGGAUGUUAUAUACUAGGAGAUUGGUUGUUAUAUACUAGGAGAUU